CAGCCGCCGCGGGAAUACAGAGGGUGCGAGCGUUAAUCGGAUUUACUGGGCGUAAAGCGUGCGUAGGCGGCUUCUUAAGUCGGAUGUGAAAUCCCUGAGCUUAACUUAGGAAUUGCAUUCGAUACUGGGAAGCUAGAGUAUGGGAGAGGAUGGUAGAAUUCCAGGUGUAGCGGUGAAAUGCGUAGAGAUCUGGAGGAAUACCGAUGGCGAAGGCAGCCAUCUGGCCUAAUACUGACGCUGAGGUACGAAAGCAUGGGGAGCAAACAGGAUUAGAUACCCCGGUAGUCCCUGUCUCUUAUAC
rnacentral:rRNA from 1 species